UAAGUAUUUUAUAGCCUGACCAGGAACAUAAAAACCCUCGCCAUGUUGCGGAAAACUAAUGGUACUAAUUUCUUUUAAUGGCAACAGUAACUCAAAACUUCAUUGACAUGUCACCUUGCAUGUCAGUCUAUUGCUGUCAAAGUGUAAACAAACUUUAUUUUAAAUGUGCGCAAUUGAACUGUUUUGCAUUACAACAAAACAGUUAUUAUGUGUAGAAUAAAACACAGCGUUCUGUUGAGAGAGCUGUCUAUGAUCUUUGCCUUAUUUUAGUCUAUGGUAUAAGAAAACUUACCAAUUGUCUCUGCUUUAUCAUCUAGUUUACCUUCUUCAUACACCAGCUGGCACCACUUUCUAUGGAAAUUGGUGAUCUGUCAACUUGACAUUUCAUAGUCGUCCAACACCAGCAAGCACUUGCUGGAACGCUGUGUUUUAUUCUACACAUAAUAACUGUUUUGUUGUAAUGCAAAACAGUUCUAUUAUGUGCCUUAAUAAAACACAGCGUUCUGUUGAGACCUGUUUGUUAUCUGCUGGUGUCAAGCACAAACGCUAUGUGAUAUAAAAU